rnacentral:tRNA from 1 species
CAUGGCCGAGUGGUCUAAGGCACUGGAUUUAGGCUCCAGUCUCUUCGGGGAUGUGGGUCCGAAUCCCACUG